rnacentral:rRNA from 1 species
GAUGAACGCUGGCGGCGUGCCUAAUACAUGCAAGUCGAACGCAUUGAGAGAAGUGCUUGCACUUUUCAAUUUGAGUGGCGAACGGGUGAGUAACACGUGGGCAACCUACCUGAUAGCGGGGGAUAACGAGUGGAAACAUUCGCUAAUACCGCAUAACAAUAGAGAAGGCAUCUUCUUUAUUUAAACGGCGCUUGCAAGCGUCACUAUCAGAUGGGCCCGCGGUGCAUUAGUUAGUUGGUGGGGUGAAGGCCUACCAAGACGAUGAUGCAUAGCCGAGGUGAGAGACUGAUCGGCCACAUUGGGACUGAGACACGGCCCAAACUCCUACGGGAGGCUGCAGUAGGGAAUCUUCCACAAUGGACGAAAGUCUGAUGGAGCAACGCCGCGUGUGUGAUGAAGGCUUUCGGGUCGUAAAGCACUGUUGUAUGGGAAGAAAUGCUAGGCUAGGAGAUGAGCUUAGUUUGACGGUACCAUACCAGAAAGGGACGGCUAAAUACGUGCCAGCCGCCGCGGUAA